GAAAGGAAGGAACAUUCCCCGCCGCAGAGAGGCUGACAACCUCGGUCCUUAGAUACACAAAAACACUCCAGUGUGCUAAUAUUAUCCAGAGCAUCAAAAAGGCAUGCGGGGAUCAAAUUUUGCAUGGUGCCUGCUGAGUGUAAGGAAAGCACCAAGCCAUUUCCUCUGCCCUCUAGAAGCUUAUAAUGUGCAGUCCUAUCACAAAGCAAAGUAAGAGCAUGAAACCAAUAAAUGGGGAUACCAUAAAGUAUUUUUAUCUCUACAGGUUCAUUCAUGCAGCAGGCAUUUAUUACGUGACUGCAGUACUGCAAAAGGUUGCAAAGGAAAUGGAAGAUCUGGUCCCUGCAGGACUGAUGGGAGCCACCUUCUAACCACAAGAAGAGUCAGUCUGAAGAAAACAGAGGCUGGAAGAGUUCAAAGAAGAGCAGAAAAAUAGAUCUCCAGCUCCAAUGGUGUACAUUGAGGAAUCUGUCCUCUCCAACAGACAAGAUUCCCCAGCACACAUCCAAAGGUGAUGCUCCCUGCCAAGGAAACAAUCUGCUUGAUUCUCAUCCAGGAGCACUGAGAGGAGGGGGGCCGCCUUUAUGUCCUCUCCUAUCUUCGUCAAGCCAUAUGCAACUGGCAGCCACCACACUUCUCUCUGUGGGAAGAGGAUAAUCAGAGCUGGAUUCCUGAAUGAAAGGAGGAACAUGCAGAGUCGCCUGCCUCCUGUCCAAUGAUUCUGAAUUCCAGUUGAACUAAGGAGGCAAGGCCACCCUGGGCCAGGACAACUCCCUGGGGAUGGUUAUUCAUUCAUAGUCAUUGAGUCAACAGCGAUUCAUUGGGAAAUGUUUUUAGCCCACUCUGAGUGAUUCUGGUGGGUCUGCCAGUCAUGUGGUCCCAUGUAUUCCACCAUAGGAAUGGACACAGGAGGCAGAACAGCAUUGUACACCAUUUCUCUGGACACAGUGAUUGGUCCAACUUGUCACUCAGCAGCUGAUCCAUGAAGGGCCAGUCAGAAUCCUUUUACAGAAUUGCCAUGGAUGCAGGGAGAAAAAGAGUUCUUUUCCUUGCUGUUGCCGCCUGUUGGUGAUGCUGGCAGCCAUAUUUGUCUUCACGUGGAGGGAGUCUUCCUGGUAAUGAAAUGACCACAGAGGGAAGGAGAGCCUGAAGAUGAAGAGCAGAGAGGAAUCAGUCCCCAUGGCACUGCAUCUAGAUUUGCUGAAGGCUGUUUCUCCCUUAGGUUGCCCAUUCCCUUGAGUCAAUAAAUACUGUUUGGUAUAAGCUUA